UGAUAUAGACUAUUAGUUAAAAGAUCUCAUGCAAUCAAUUUAUUUCAUUUAUAAAUGAAAUAAUAGUCUUUAGCGAAACUAAUUUCAAAACCUUCCUAUGCUAGCACAGACAUGAAAAAUAAAUUCUGACUAGCUAUAGGAACAUAAUAAUAGUUUCUUAAAUCUAAUUUAAAAUCAGAUGACAAUUCAAGAGGAUAAGUGCCAAUGGCCUCUUCAGCAAUUUUUGCUCUAUUGCUAACCCA
rnacentral:lncRNA from 1 species